rnacentral:rRNA from 1 species
GACGAACGCUGGCGGCGUGCCUAACACAUGCAAGUCGAGCGAUGAAGCUCCUUCGGGAGUGGAAUAGCGGCGGACGGGUGAGUAACACGUGGGUAACCUGCCUCAUAGAGGGGAAUAGCCUUCCGAAAGGGAGAUUAAUACCGCAUAACAUAACUUUAUCGCAUGGUAGAGUUAUCAAAGGAGUAAUCCGCUAUGAGAUGGACCCGCGGCGCAUUAGCUAGUUGGUGAGGUAACGGCUCACCAAGGCGACGAUGCGUAGCCGACCUGAGAGGGUGAUCGGCCACAUUGGAACUGAGACACGGUCCAGACUCCUACGGGAGGCAGCAGUGGGGAAUAUUGCGCAAUGGGGGAAACCCUGACGCAGCAACGCCGCGUGAGUGAAGAAGGCCUUAGGGUUGUAAAGCUCUGUCAUAUGGGAAGAUAAUGACGGUACCAUAAGAGGAAGCCACGGCUAACUACAUGCCAGCAGCCGCCGCGG